CAGCGUCAAUCGCCAUGCCUUCUCCUNGUCCUGGACCGCCCGACGGUUUAAGUGUGCCGCCGGGCGGUGCGUCGACUCUUCAAAUCUUCAUUUUUUUGCUCUUUUCUUGAGUCAACGACCUGUAUCUUUAACUCCAUUCUCUACUUUUCUCAAAUUAGCUUCAAAACAAUGCAAAACAAGCAUAAAAUCGCUAAAAACCGCUUUUGACUAUCUUCAGACUCAUUUAUUGAGUUUUGCUUGAUUCUAUGCUCAUUCCAAGUAGUAAAGGGUGCAAUUUGGUCCAAAUUGACAUAUGAAAAUAGCUGUUUUUCAACCUUCAUCACAAAACCCUUGAGUUAAGAGAGCAAACAGAUUGUUCAAACUUGAAGCACAACUCCCUUUCUCACCAAGCUCACUUAUUCCCAACUUCUUCCCUUUUCUUUUACAUUGAGCUCAUUUUCAUGCUUUUCUUCUUUUCUUUUCUUUUUCUCAGGCAUUUUUCUUUCUCAACAUUUGAGCUCAAUGUUUUACAAUUGUUUUUCAACUUCCCCCAUACAACCCCAAACUUGAACCUUUUCCACACAUACAGUUAAGCUCAUCCCAACUCAAGGUAAAGAAUUUCAAAACAAGGGUUCUCAUUCUGUUUAAGGCUAAGGUCCAAAAAAGGGUAUAAAAUUUCAAGCACUUUGGGUAAAAAUUUUGGCUUAGAGAAGGGUUUUCAAGAAUGACCUUGAUCAUAUGAAAUUCACAUGCAAUUCAAUCAAUCAUCAAGAUUAAGGCAAUAUCAUUCAUGGUUUCGUGUGGACAAUACAUACAACAAUGAAAACUCUGGAGCUCAAUACCUCACAAAACAUGCUUUCUCACACAACAUUCAUUCAUACACCCUGCUUAGCAUCAUAACCACAAUCAUAAUUCAUCACACAUUUGUUCCAUGAAUAUCAACAUGCAACACAACUUAAUUACCAUUCACAUCACAUCAUCAU
rnacentral:lncRNA from 1 species